CGAGGUCAACUAAAAUAGCUAUUGAUAUUAUUUUGAAUAUCCUAUCACUAACAAUUUUAUUCAAACUAAAGAAGAAAUUAGAUAUUGUAUUAGUGGUUUGAUGUUUUUGCCCUUUUCCAAGUUUUGUAUUAAAGUAAAGCUCAAUUGGCUAGCCCACAACUGACCAUCCAGUAUUUUUAAAGAGACGCAUGGGGCAGAAAAGGGAUUUGAACACAAGACACAUUUCAUCCACACAAACGCAUGGUCCACACUCACCACCCGGAGAAAGUCACCUUCAUAUACACAGUAACCUUCACACACAGUCACUCCAGCCAUAACACACAAAACAACACAAGCAGCCCACCCAUAUAUACAACAGACUGCAAACAGCUGCCACACAUAUGAUCUAAGACAAAUAGAUAUGCUUACAGAUGCAAAGAUACAGAGGCAUUCAUUCCAGACAGUCAUCAAAACACAAACAUAUACACAGUGACAGACAAGCAUGCAGAGACACCAUUACAUAGACACAAGUACACACAGCCAGGUAUACACUGUGUCCAGAUGGAACAAUGUGAGGGUAAUAUGGUAUAGGUAAUGUGGAAAACUAUACAAUAUACAUAUAUUAACAUUUCAAGUUAACGUUACUCGCCAAUGCACCCUUCAAGAAGCCUGGAUGGUCCACGGCACAGCAAUCUCUUG